AACCGGCCCCUGGGCCACCUCUCACAAUUGAGCCCCCAGCCCUUGAACACACGCACACACGCACACACGCUGAGCUACCGCCAAUGCUUGAGCCCCCAGCCCUUACACACACCCAUACACGUGCACAAACACACACACACGCUGAACCAACUUCAACACUUGAGCCCCCAGCCCCUAGAGAGAGACACACACACACACGCUGAUGCGGGAGCAUUUAGCACAGUUUCCUUGCUGAAAAAGCAGGACCUCGGUUUAGAAAAUGGAAAUUGCCCAGGAGGAAAAGAGAGCUGAGAUAUAUGCAGCCCCAGGUACUUAGGGUUAGUAAUAAUAUUGUUAAUAAUACUAUCGUUUCUGAGGGGUUUCUACCAGAUACUGUGUUGAGUAGUUGCCAUGCUUAAUCCUAUUUAGAGCUUGGUGUGCCCAUGGGUAAACAGAGGCACUGAGCAGGGGAGGCAGAAGCAGGACUGGAAACUGUCUGUGUAACUUUGGAGCUCUUGGUUCUAUCCACUUACUGGUGUGGUUGCAUGGCUGUACAACUGCCCAUGUGGUUAUGGCCCCCAUCUGGGGAUAGGUCUCAGUAGAACCUACAUCGCCAGGGCUAUGCCAGCCUUAUGCAGUCCUAUGCAUAACUACCAAUUCUCAGAAUGAGCAUGUUUAUCACCCUUGGCCCAUCCUGCCCCAUCACUGUAUUUAACACUUGCAUCUUAGGUGGAUCUUCCUCAAUAAUCCUGGAAUGAGUAGAAAAGACCCAUGUUCUGUGUGUUUGGGGAACAUCUUAUCUUCAUCCUGCAACACACAUCCACCUCGGCAGCUUCCCCUCAACUAAUGUGGGAACCACAACUCAGAGAGGAAAGUGACUGGAUCAAGGCUACUCUGAUCAAAGCUGGUCACUUCCCACAUCUGUGAGACAGCAGAGCCAGUUCUCUGCUUGGUGAAGCAAUUCCGUAAAAGCAUUUCUCUAACAAGUGACUGCAGACUUCACGUGAACUCAGCUGCAUACUGGAAGUCACUGUGAUUCUAAUUUUAUGAAGAAUUAUCAAGUUGAGCAUAUUUAAAACUGUGUGGGGCUUUUUUUCUUAUACAGUUUCCUUUUUUCUUUUUUUCAAGGUGCCUCCUUCUAAUUCAUCUUCACCAUUGUGGUUGUCAAUAUGGCAUGCAGAAUUAUCCCUCUUUCCAGGUGAGGACGCGGAGACAUGGAGACACAUGUAGCCCAGACACAUAACAACACAGUAGGCAGGCCCAGUCUUGGAGCACAGAUUCUUCCUCCCCCUCCCCACACCUUAGCUAGCUUCUUUGCUCUCCCUGAGUGCCUAUGGCUUACAAGUUAUCCAUUUACAACAAAAGGUUGUUUAUUCAGAAUGUAGGGACUGGGAAUACAGAAGCCAAAAAAAAAAAAAUGAAGUGAGAAAUGAAAUCCCUUCUGUUUUGUUGUUUGGAAACUGCCUGGGAAGUGGCCUGCCAGCUAGGAACAGGGUUGGCUGGUGAAGAAGCCCCUGGCAUGACAUUUUUCUGCUUAGCAGAUGCCUGUGUG
rnacentral:lncRNA from 1 species